GUUCCUUACGUUUUUUUCUUCGUUUUUGCAGGUGUUUUGGAAGCCAGUUAUGAUAUGACCAUGGCGUAUUCUUCUCCAUGCUGCCACGUCUUCAGCCACGUUCUCACAGAUUCGUGGAGGCUUUGACUGAUCGUUGUCACUCUAAUUCAUGUUAUUCUUCUAGGAUUGUGGAGGAAAGAGGAUGCUUUGAUCGGUUGCUGAUGGUUUUGAUGGAUCGUUUUUGUCUUCAGGUAGUCUUCUUCCUCUUCACCGAUUCUUUUU